rnacentral:RNase_P_RNA from 1 species
UCCGCCGGACAGGCAGCCGCCGCGUCGUCUUCGGCGGGGAGGAAAGUCCGGGCUCCAUAGGGAAUCGUGCCGGCUAACGGCCGGGGGGCCGUUUUCAAAGGCGGUUCACGGAAAGUGCCACAGAAACAUACCGCCGGGCUUCGGCCCGGUAAGGGUGAAAUGGUGCGGUAAGAGCGCACCGCGCCCGGAGCAAUUCGGGUGGCAGGGUAAACCCCACGAGGAGCAAGACCAAAUAGGGGACAAGCGGCGUCCCGUCGCGUUCGAGUUCCGGGUAGGUUGCAUGAGUCCGGCAGUAAUGCCGGACCUAGUUGAAUGGCUGCCGCCUUGGUCCACCAAGGCACAGAAACCGGCUUAUCGUCCGGCGGACCCA